GUAGGUGGCAAGCGUUGUCCGGAAUUAUUGGGCGUAAAGCGCGCGCAGGCGGUUCUUUAAGUCUGAUGUGAAAGCCCACGGCUCAACCGUGGAGGGUCAUUGGAAACUGGAGAACUUGAGUACAGAAGAGGAAAGCGGAAUUCCACGUGUAGCGGUGAAAUGCGUAGAGAUGUGGAGGAACACCAGUGGCGAAGGCGGCUUUCAGGUCUGUAACUGACGCUGAGGCGCGAAAGCGUGGGGAGCAAACAGGAUUAGAUACCCUGGUAGUCCACGCCGUAAACGAUGAGUGCUAAGUGUUAGGGGGGUUUCCGCCCCCCUUAGUGCUGCAGCUAACGCAUUAAGCACUCCGCCUGGGAGUACGGCCGCAAGGCUG
rnacentral:rRNA from 1 species